UUUUUUUUUUUUUACCUUAUAAUGUUUUUUCCAGGGUAUAAUGGUCAUUACCAAGGCUUUUAGAAUACAGUUUCUUAUUUGCUGUGGACAUGACCAUAAAAUAAUUCCCUCUAGGUUUUCUAUCUGCUACUUUGCUAGCAUUCAACCUAUUGGGAACAUUUCAAGUAUACUUUUUUUUUUUAUCUAUGUUGCCUAGAUUUUUAAAACAUUCAGAUUCUCACCAUGGUAGAUAAUUAGCUUUCUGGGGCCAAACCACACACACUGUUUACACCAGUUUGGUGAUAUGGCUCCAGAACUCAUUCUUGAUUGCUCUAAUUCUCUAUAUCCUUAUUAUAUUAUAGGGCUCUUGAAACAAACAGAUAAGCAUCAGAUCUUCUAAAAAGGGUAUUCUUGGAAUGGACAACAAAGGAAUCACAAUGGAAAUUCCUUAAAUAAAAAUUUAUUGACUUAAAAUUACACACUUUUAAAAGAAAAACACCAUUCUAAAGAAGAGUCAACCUGUAUUUUUGGCUCGAAGUUUCUCUAGUGUUUUCUGUGGAGAGAAUAAAUAAAAAUAAGCAGCAGUUCCUAUUGUGGUAUGCCCUAAAUAUAAGAAGGGAGGGGGCUUGUUUACCUUAUGAAAUUCUUUUGCCCUUUCUCUGUUCUGGGCAUAAGCUUCUUGUUUUGCUUUCUCUACCUUUUGUUGUUUCACUUCAGCUAAUUGAUUAUAUAGUCUGAAAGUAAUUUAUAUGGAAUUAAAUACAAUAUUGAAAAAUGAGCUACUAAAAAUAAAGCAAAAAAAAAAAAGCUACCUUAGAGCCCUUUGGUGCA